CAAUGUGGAUCUCUGAGUGCCACGGACUUCUCUUGGCCCUUGGUGGGCUUAACUCUGGGAGCUAGAGCGCCAGGUGGGCACAGCUUCGAACAUACCCCGAGCCAGAGGCUUCCGGGUCCUUGUUGGAUGCCCAAGAAUAAUAAUGAAAAGCAAAGACUGAGGACUGAUGGAGAUCAUUAAAGGAAAGCAAGAAAGAAGGCUGGGCUCCUAGAGGAGAGGAGCAGGCCGCCCUGCUAAGCUGUGUUUCCUGGGUUUUCUAGUGGGAACAAGGCAGAGACUUUUAUAACCUGGGCCAGACCUGAACCCAAAGUUUGCCUCUGGAGUUCCUGAAUGCGAAGCCCAGGAGCAUGAGCCACAUCCAGCCUUGCAGACUUUUAAAUUGUGUGUAUGCAUAUUGUAUAUAUGUGUUCAUAUGUGUAUGUGUGCAUGACGCUAGAGGCAUUGGAUGUCCCUGGGACUGGAGUUGCAGUCAGUUGUGAGCUGCCUGGUAUGAAUUCUAGGAACAAAGUCUGGGCCGUCUGCAAGAGCAGCAAAAGCUCUUAACAAUAGGCCAUCUCUCCAGGCCCCUGAGCAGACAUUUUAAUGAAAUAUUUUCCCCACAAUGAUUUUAUGUCAACUAAAAAGAUGAAUUCUAGACUUCAUUAUAUUUUCCCAGCCUGAA